UACGUAGGGUGCAAGCGUUGUCCGGAAUUAUUGGGCGUAAAGAGCUCGUAGGCGGCUUGUCGCGUCGGCUGUGAAAACCUGGGGCUCAACCCCGGGCCUGCAGCCGAUACGGGCAAGCUAGAGUUCGGUAGGGGAGACUGGAAUUCCUGGUGUAGCGGUGAAAUGCGCAGAUAUCGGAAGGAACACCAGUGGCGAAAGCGGCUUCCUGGUCCAGCACCGACGUUCAGGCACGAAAGCGUGGGGAGCAAACAGG
rnacentral:rRNA from 1 species